UGUCUGAACCUUCGGGGAACGAUAACGGCGUCGAGCGGCGGACGGGUGAGUAAUGCCUGGGAAAUUGCCCUGAUGUGGGGGAUAACCAUUGGAAACGAUGGCUAAUACCGCAUAAUAGCUUCGGCUCAAAGAGGGGGACCUUCGGGCCUCUCGCGUCAGGAUAUGCCCAGGUGGGAUUAGCUAGUUGGUGAGGUAAUGGCUCACCAAGGCGACGAUCCCUAGCUGGUCUGAGAGGAUGAUCAGCCACACUGGAACUGAGACACGGUCCAGACUCCUACGGGAGGCAGCAGUGGGGAAUAUUGCACAAUGGGCGCAAGCCUGAUGCAGCCAUGCCGCGUGUAUGAAGAAGGCCUUCGGGUUGUAAAGUACUUUCAGCAGUGAGGAAGGUGGUAUCGUUAAUAGCACUAUCGUUUGACGUUAGCUGCAGAAGAAGCACCGGCUAACUCCGUGCCAGCAGCCGCGGUAAUACGGAGGGUGCGAGCGUUAAUCGGAAUUACUGGGCGUAAAGCGCAUGCAGGUGGUCUGUUAAGUCAGAUGUGAAAGCCCGGGGCUCAACCUCGGAAUUGCAUUUGAAACUGGCAGACUAGAGUACUGUAGAGGGGGGUAGAAUUUCAGGUGUAGCGGUGAAAUGCGUAGAGAUCUGAAGGAAUACCGGUGGC
rnacentral:rRNA from 1 species